rnacentral:rRNA from 1 species
UACGAAGGGGGCUAGCGUUGCUCGGAAUCACUGGGCGUAAAGCGCACGUAGGCGGGUUGUUAAGUCGGGGGUGAAAUCCUGGAGCUCAACUCCAGAACUGCCUUCGAUACUGGCGACCUUGAGUCCGGGAGAGGUGAGUGGAACUCCGAGUGUAGAGGUGAAAUUCGUAGAUAUUCGGAAGAACACCAGUGGCGAAGGCGGCUCACUGGCCCGGUACUGACGCUGAGACGCGAAAGCGCGGGGAGCGAACGGG